CGGGGACAACCCCGGGAAACUGGGGCUAAUCCCCGAUAGGUGAGGAGGCCUGGAAUGGUUCCUCACCUAAUGGAUGCUGGGACAUGCUUUCAGCAUCGCCCGAGGAUGGGGCUGCGGCCGAUCAGGUCGUUGGUGAGGUAACGGCCCACCAAGCCUAUAACCGGUACGGGCCGUGAUAGCGGGAGCCCGGAGAUGGAAUCUGAGACAAAAUUCCAGGCCUUACGGGGCGCGGCAGGCGCGAAACCUUCACAAUGCACGAAAGUGUGAUGGGGUUACCCCGAGUGCCGUCCGCUGAGGAUGGCUUUUCUCCUGUGUAAGGAGCCGGAGGCAAUAAAGGGAGGGCAAGAUUGGUGUCAGCCGCCGCGGUAAUACCAACUCCCUGAGUGGUGGGGACGAUUAUUGGGCUUAAAGCGUCCGUAGCUGGCUUGAUUAGUCUCGCGUAAAAUCUGGCGACUUAAUCGCCAGGCUGCGGGAGAUACGGUCAGGCUUGGGGGCGGGAGAGGUUAGCGGUAUUCCUGGGGUAGGGGUGAAAUCCUAUAAUCCCGGGAGGACCACCAAUGGCGAAGGCGGCUAACUAGAACGCGCUCGACGGUCAGGGACGAAAGCUGGGGGAGCGAACCGGAUUAGAUACCCGGGUAGUCCCAGCUGUAAACGAUGCGGGCUAGCUGUUGGGAUGGCUACNAGCCAUCUCAGUGGCGCAGGGAAGCCGUUAAGCCCGCCGCCUGGGAAGUAUGAUCGCAAGAUUGAAACUUAAAGGAAUUGGCGGGGGAGCACCACAAGGGGUGAAGCUUGCGGUUUAAUUGGAGUCAACGCCGGAAAUCUUACCGGGGCUGACAGCAGAAUGAAGGUCAGAUUAAAGGUCUUACCAGACAAGCUGAGAGGUAGUGCAUGGCGGUCUUCAGCUCGUGCCGUGAGGUGUCCUGUUAAGUCAGGCAACGAGCGAGACCCGCACCCUUAGUUGCCACCGGAUUCCAGUGGGAUCUGAGCACUCUAGGGGGACUGCCACUGAAUAAAGUGGAGGAAGGAGCGGGCAAAGGCAUGUCCGUAUGCUCCGAAUGCCCCGGGCCACACGCGAGCUGUAAUGGCAGGGACAAUGAGUUGCGACCCUGAGAAGGGAGGCUAAUCUCCNAACCCUGUCGUAGUUGGGAUUGAGGGCUGAAACCCGCCCUCGUGAACAUGGAAUCCCUAGUAACCGCGUGUCACUAUCGCGCGGUGAAUACGUCCCUGCUCCUUGCACACACCGCCCGUCGCUCCNGCCGAGUGGGGUUUGGGUGAGGCGCGGUCCUCUGGGUUACGUCGAACCUGGGCUCUGCGAGGAGGGAGAAGU
rnacentral:rRNA from 1 species